rnacentral:rRNA from 1 species
GACGAACGCUGGCGGCGUGCCUAAUACAUGCAAGUUGAGCGAUGAAGCUUGGUGCUUGCCCCAAUUUGAAGAGCAGCGAACGGGUGAGUAACGCGUGGGGAAUCUGCCUUUGAGCGGGGGACAACAUUUGGAAACGAAUGCUAAUACCGCAUAACAACUUUAAACAUAAGUUUUAAGUUUGAAAGAUGCAAUUGCAUCACUCAAAGAUGAUCCCGCGUUGUAUUAGCUAGUUGGUGAGGUAAAGGCUCACCAAGGCGAUGAUACAUAGCCGACCUGAGAGGGUGAUCGGCCACAUUGGGACUGAGACACGGCCCAAACUCCUACGGGAGGCAGCAGUAGGGAAUCUUCGGCAAUGGACGAAAGCCUGACCGAGCAACGCCGCGUGAGUGAAGAAGGUUUUCGGAUCGUAAAACUCUGUUGGUAGAGAAGAACGUUGGUGAGAGUGGAAAGCUCAUCAAGUGACGGUAACUACCCAGAAAGGGACGGCCAACUACGUG